UAAAUCUGUUUAGACUUUUGGCCAUAAAGGG
rnacentral:piRNA from 1 species